rnacentral:tRNA from 1 species
GCGUGGCUCAGUUGGUAGAGCAGCGCACUCGUAAUGCGCAGGUCGUGGGUUCAAGUCCCACCG